GGCGCUAUAGCCAAGUGGUUACGGCGACAGAUUAGAAUACUUCGCAGAUGUCACAGUAUUUCAUCUGUUCCUCUUUGAGGGCGCAGGUUCAAAUCCUGCUGGCGUCG